rnacentral:rRNA from 1 species
UAGAUUGGGGACAACGGCUGGAAACGGUCGCUAAUACCCAAUGUGCCGAGAGGUAAAAGGCUUGCUGCCUGAAGAAGAGCUCGCGUCUGAUUAGCUAGUUGGAGUGGUAACGGCACACCAAGGCAACGAUCAGUAGCUGGUCUGAGAGGAUGAUCAGCCACACUGGGACUGAGACACGGCCCAGACUCCUACGGGAGGCAGCAGUGGGGAAUUUUCCGCAAUGGGCGAAAGCCUGACGGAGCAAUACCGCGUGAGGGAGGAAGGCUCUUGGGUUGUAAACCUCUUUUGAUUGGGAAGAAGAACUGACGGUACCAAUCGAAUCAGCAUCGGCUAACUCCGUGCCAGCAGCCGCGGUAAUACGGAGGAUGCAAGCGUUAUCCGGAUUUAUUGGGCGUAAAGCGUCCGCAGGUGGCUUAUCAAGUCUGCUGUCAAAGCGCGGGGCUUAACUCCGUAAAGGCGGUGGAAACUGGUCAGCUAGAGUCUGGUAGGGGUUGCGGGAAUUCCCAGUGUAGCGGUGAAAUGCGUAGAUAUUGGGAAGAACACCGGCGGCGAAAGCGCGCAACUGGACCGGAACUGACACUCAUGGACGAAAGCGUAGGG